AUUGAACGCUGGCGGCAUGCCUUACACAUGCAAGUCGAACGGUAACAGGUCUUCGGAUGCUGACGAGUGGCGAACGGGUGAGUAAUGCAUCGGAACGUGCCCAGUUGUGGGGGAUAACUGCUCGAAAGAGCAGCUAAUACCGCAUACGACCUGAGGGUGAAAGCGGGGGAUCGCAAGACCUCGCGCAAUUGGAGCGGCCGAUGUCAGAUUAGGUAGUUGGUGGGGUAAAGGCCUACCAAGCCGACGAUCUGUAGUUGGUCUGAGAGGACGACCAGCCACACUGGGACUGAGACACGGCCCAGACUCCUACGGGAGGCAGCGGUGGGGAAUUUUGGACAAUGGGCGCAAGCCUGAUCCAGCAAUGCCGCGUGCAGGAAGAAGGCCUUCGGGUUGUAAACUGCUUUUGUCAGGGAAGAAAUCCUCUGGGUUAAUACCCCGGGGGGAUGACGGUACCUGAAGAAUAAGCACCGGCUAACUACGUGCCAGCCACCGCCGUAAGAC
rnacentral:rRNA from 1 species